UACGGAAGGCAGCAGUGGGGAAUAUUGCACAAUGGGCACAAGCCUGAUGCAGCCAUGCCGCGUGUAUGAAGAAGGCCUUCGGGUUGUAAAGUACUUUCAGUCGUGAGGAAGGUGUUAAGGUUAAUAACCUUAGCAAUUGACGUUAGCGACAGAAGAAGCACCGGCUAACUCCGUGCCAGCAGCCGCGGUAAUACGGAGGGUGCGAGCGUUAAUCGGAAUUACUGGGCGUAAAGGGCACGCAGGCGGUUAAUUAAGUUGGAUGUGAAAUCCCCGGGCUUAACCUGGGAAUGGCAUUCAAGACUGGUUAGCUAGAGUCUUGUAGAGGGGGUAGAAUUCCAUGUGUAGCGGUGAAAUGCGUAGAGAUGUGGAGGAAUACCGGUGGCGAAAGGCGGCCCCUGGACAAAGACUGACGCUCAUGUGCGAAAAGCGUGGGGAGCAAACAGGGAUUAGAUACC
rnacentral:rRNA from 1 species